rnacentral:rRNA from 1 species
UACGGAGGGGGCGAGCGUUGUCCGAAGUUACUGGGCGUAAAGCGCGCGUAGGCGGGUUGGUAAGUCCGCUGUGAAAGCCCGGAGCUCAACUCCGGAGGGUCGGUGGAUACUGCCAGUCUUGAAGGUGCUAGGGGGAGAUGGAAUUACCGGUGUAGCGGUGAAAUGCGCAGAUAUCGGGAGGAACACCGGUGGCGAAGGCGGUUCUCUGGGCCUGUACUGACGCUGAGGAGCGAAAGCGUGGGGAGCGAACAGG